UCACCGUCUCGGUCUCGUCCUCCAAUGGUAGGUCUGCCUUUACCUGUCCCCCUUCUUGUAUUUUCCUGUGGAGUUGUUUGAGAUCUUGGAGUUCAGUUCAACAAUAGUAAGAUGAGGUUCGAACCUGCUAGGAGCCGAAUCUUAGUAUUACCGCUCAUACCGAUUUCAUGGUCCAUUCUGAAGCCAUAGCGUAUCGGUUGAAUCCGAUAAGAUUUAAUUCCAACUUCUUAGCUAAUUAUCCUUAGCUGGCAAAAUUAGAGAUCCAAUUGGGCGUUGUUGAGAUCAAUCAGGUGUUGAAUAUACAUGGCAGGAUAGUUUCCUUAUGCAAUAUUCAGUUACAAACUUGUGAUUUCAGAAGUCUAUUUCUGAUGUUUAAGUUCAGACUGCGCGCUUGCACAUACACUGAAGUAACAAUGGUUCAUAUUUAACGGUGUAGGUGCAGCUGGGCUCUCCCCAUUGAGUGACUCGGAGAAGAAAUGCAGGAGCUCAUGGACAGCAUCCGUGUCAUCAGCCUCAAAGUACCCGUGGGCUUUCCUUUCCUUUAACAUUAAUUUUUCCAAAUUUAUUUUCUUUUAGCUCAUAAGAUAAAUUAUGUCAGAACUAGAAUUUUCUUAUUUGGAAUUGAGUACAUACAAAUAAAGUUAUAUAGAGUAGCUAAUACAUGGCCGACCACUGCUACUGAAUUCAGUGAUCUCCACACAGUUGUCUGAGGACGUUUGUGCUAUGGUUGAUUGAGAUUCACUUGAUUGAGUAUGCACGUCAAUAUUCAAGUUGGG
rnacentral:lncRNA from 1 species